rnacentral:rRNA from 1 species
GAUGAACGCUGGCGGCGUGCCUAAUACAUGCAAGUCGAGCGAACGGACGAGAAGCUUGCUUCUCUGAUGUUAGCGGCGGACGGGUGAGUAACACGUGGAUAACCUACCUAUAAGACUGGGAUAACUUCGGGAAACCGGAGCUAAUACCGGAUAAUAUUUUGAACCGCAUGGUUCAAAAGUGAAAGACGGUCUUGCUGUCACUUAUAGAUGGAUCCGCGCUGCAUUAGCUAGUUGGUAAGGUAACGGCUUACCAAGGCAACGAUGCAUAGCCGACCUGAGAGAGUGAUCGGCCACACUGGAACUGAGACACGGUCCAGACUCCUACGGGAGGCAGCAGUAGGGAAUCUGCCGCAAUGGGCGAAAGCCUGACGGAGCAACGCCGCGUGAGUUAUGAAGGUCUUCGGAUCGUAAAACUCUGUUAUUAGUGAAGAACAUAUGUGUAAGUAACUGUGCACAUCUUGACGGUACCUAAUCAGAAAGCCACGGCUAACUACGUG